GUGGGUAUGAAUCCACCUCUAGCUACCUGGCCUCAGCCACAACUCAGAGGAGAUGCUUCAUAAAGAAUAACACACCUAAUGGAAUCGGGAAGGAAGAGUAUCUAUCAGCUGUAUUUCUCAAAUGAGAAUUUAGCAAGAUUCACAGACUCAGUUUCUACUAGUUACUCAACAACUGCCCUCAGGUCAAGAACAAUCCCAAAUUUUGGGGAUGUGAGGGUGAUAUUUUCUUUUAUAAAACACAUCAAGAGACAUGUUGACUUCUCAUUUCUUGCUAUUCCCCACUCUCAUCCACUCGCAACAAGCUGGAGCAGCAGCAGAUUUCCUUAAAGUAGCAGCUGGUUCCAAUGAACCAACAGAGAGCAACUGCAGCAAGUUUCUGUUGCCUUUCCAAAACCGUGGUGAAUCAUUGCAUCAUUCAAGAACAUUGAUCUUUAGCAAUGUAGAUUUCCAGUUUUCAAAAAACUUUAAAGAUAAAAUUUGACAUAAAAGAGUAGCACUCAUCAUGAUAACAGUGAACUUGCUUAAAUUGUGUUGCACUUCAGCUUACCCUUGGACCCUCCGAAGGAUUUCACCCAAUCCCCAUUCAUCCAGAAGAGACUUGAGCCCUUCACAAGGUCCCAGAUCACUGCUGUGCCCCAUCUUACCUGCCCAGCAGACUGAACACAGCCCUGCUGACAACAGUGAAUAAUCAGAUUCAUCUCAGCUGUGAAAGAGAAGAGUCCAUGUUCACCUAAGAAGCCAUGGUGGUCUCGUCUGUCAUCCCAUCCAUGAGGAUGCUAGUUUCCAAUUUCACACAUCAAAGGUAUCAGGUGGUUGAGGCUGGAGGCUAAGUGGAAAAGGCUUCCAGGUAAGAAGACAGAACCUACAGUAGAUGGCUCUACUUUGGAAGGGCUUUGAGGAAAAUGGCCAGUGUCUCAAGAAGUCUGACCUCUCGAUCUCCUUGACCCCCUAAGAAGGAGAGAAGACAUGGAACACUCUUCCUCCUUUUGGCUGAGGGAUGGAGCCUGGAGUCUUUGCUGGACAGAAGGGAUAUCUCCCUGCAGGCCACCUUAUGGCCCAGGUCCCCCUGGCUGAACCCGAAGAAUUCCAAGUGGGUAUAAAAUUCCCCUUUGCCCAGAAGUACCAGGUUUGCAGUGCACCCUCAUUAAAGUGUGCUCCUGCAGCCAGACUGUCAGUUUCAAAAGAAAACUCCUUUUAAUUUUAACUAGAGCCCUGGGCAUCAGAAACAGUAGAGAAAGGGGAUUCAUUUAUGGGUUUCUAUGGUGGAUUGUGGGUUUUAUUUGCUCCUUUACACCACUUUCCAGUCUGUCAUUUUGGUAAGGUUAACCCCAGUGUAAAAUGUUCCCGUAAUUAUGCUCGGAAACACUCCCAGCCUGCCGCAUGCCAAUAAAUGCCUGGAAUAACUGUCAGGCUAAAUGAA
rnacentral:lncRNA from 1 species